rnacentral:rRNA from 1 species
UGAGGAAUAUUGGGUCAAUGGGACGAGAGUCUGAACCAGCCAAGUAGCGUGCAGGAUGACGGCCCUCCGGGUUGUAAACUGCUUUUAGUUGGGAAUAAAAAAGGUGACGUGUCAUCUAUUGUAUGUACCAUCAGAAAAAGGACCGGCUAAUUCCGUGCCAGCAGCCGCGGUAAUACGGAAGGUCCAGGCGUUAUCCGGAUUUAUUGGGUUUAAAGGGAGCGUAGGCCGCCUGGUAAGCGUGUUGUGAAAUGUCGUUGCUCAACAACGUCACUGCAGCGCGAACUGCCGGGCUUGAGUGUGCGGAAAGCGGGCGGAAUUUGUGGUGUAGCGGUGAAAUGCUUAGAUACCACGAAGAACUCCGAUUGCGAAGGCAGCUCGCUGUAGCAUUACUGACGCUGAAGCUCGAAGGUGCGGGUAUCGAACAGGAUUAGAUACCCUGGUAGU